UACGUAGGGUGCAAGCGUUGUCCGGAAUUAUUGGGCGUAAAGAGCUCGUAGGCGGUCUGUUGCGUCGGCUGUGAAAACCCGGGGCUCAACUCCGGGCCUGCAGCCGAUACGGGCAGACUAGAGUUCGGCAGGGGAGACUGGAAUUCCUGGUGUAGCGGUGAAAUGCGCAGAUAUCAGGAGGAACACCGGUGGCGAAGGCGGGUCUCUGGGCAACUACUGACGCUGAGGAGCGAAAGCGUGGGGAGCGAACAGG
rnacentral:rRNA from 1 species